rnacentral:rRNA from 1 species
CGUAGGGGGCAAGCGUUGUUCGGAAUUACUGGGCGUAAAGGGCGCGUAGGCGGCACGGCAAGUCGGGAGUGAAAGGCCUGGGCUCAACCGAGGAAUGGCUUUCGAGACUGCCGAGCUAGAGUGCGGAAGGGGCAACUGGAAUUCCCAGUGUAGCGGUGAAAUGCGUAGAUAUUGGGAAGAACACCGGAGGCGAAGGCGGGUUGCUGGGCCGACACUGACGCUGAUGCGCGAAAGCCAGGGGAGCAAACGGGAUUAGAUACCCCGGUAGUCCUGGCCCUAAACGAUGGAUACUUGGUGUGUGGGGUUCUUCGAGUCCCCGCGUGCCGGAGCUAACGCGGUAAGUAUCCCGCCUGGGGAGUACGGUUGCAAGGCU